CUUGGCUUCUUCAUAUUCAAACGUACCCUCUCAUGACACCAGGGGACCUCGUCCUGUCCUUUUUACGUUGUCAUUGGAGCAGAAACUGCAAAAUUUUGGGGGAAUUCUUAAUUGAUCAUUGAUACAGAAGUGUAAUUUUGAAUCCUGUUGAAGGUAUUAGUGUUGUAGAGAUUCUCCAAAUGCUACAUAUUGGCAGGACCAGAAAUCAGCCAAGGUCCAACAGAUCAAUGCCGCUUGGAGGCCUGGAUUAUGCAGACCCUAAAAGGAAGGGUAAUUAUGUAGGGAAGAUCCUUUUGGCUGCUGCUCUCACAGCCUUAUGCAUUAUUAUGCUCAAACAAUCCCCAACAUUCAAUACUCCAAGCCCGUUCUCCAUGCAUGAAGAAGGGGUGACUCAUGUGCUUGUGACUGGUGGUGCUGGCUACAUUGGUUCACACGCUGCAAUGCGACUUUUAAAGGAUGGGUACAGGGUAACCAUAGUGGAUAACCUCUCACGGGGAAAUCUUGGUGCUGUCAAAGUUCUACAAGAAUUAUUUCCACAACCUGGGAGGCUUCAGUUCAUAUAUACUGACCUGGGGGAUGCAAAAGCUGUUAACAAAAUAUUCUCAGAAAAUGCAUUUGAUGCUGUGAUGCA
rnacentral:misc_RNA from 1 species